CUUUACUGUAGCUUUGUAUUGGACUUUGAACAGAUCUGUGUAGGAUAGGUGGGAGGCUUUGAAGUGUGGUCGCUAGACUGCAUGGAGCCAACGUUGAAAUACCACCCUGGUGUGUUUGAGGUUCUAACCUGGGUCCCUUAUCGGGAUCGGGGACAGUGCAUGGUAGGCAGUUUGACUGGGGCGGUCUCCUCCCAAAGUGUAACGGAGGAGUUCGAAGGUACGCUAGGUACGGUCGGACAUCGUGCUAAUAGUGCAAUGGCAUAAGCGUGCUUAACUGCGAGACUGACAAGUCGAGCAGAUGCGAAAGCAGGACAUAGUGAUCCGGUGGUUCUGUAUGGAAGGGCCAUCGCUCAACGGAUAAAAGGUA
rnacentral:rRNA from 1 species